GGAGAAGGAAAAGAAAAAGGGGGAAGGAAGGAAAGUUAGAGAAAGAAGGAAGAAGAAAAGGAAAGAAAAGGAAAGAUGGAAGGAAAGAAAAGAGAGACAGCAGAAGAGAAAGAAAAAGGGGGAAGGAAGGAAAGAGGUAGAGAAGGAAGAAAUGAGAGACAGAGGGAGGGAAAGAAAAAGGGGGAAGGAAGGAAGGAGAGAAGGAAAGAAAAAAGGGAAUGAAGAAGGAAAGAGGGAGUGAAGGAAGGGGGAAGAUGUAGAGAAAGAGGGAGGGAAGGAAAGAAGGAAAGAGAGAAGGAAGAAAAGAGACCAGAAGAGAAAGAAAAAGGGGGAAGGAAGGAAAGAGAUAGAGAAGGAAGAGGAGAAGGAAAGGAGAGAAAGAGGGAAGGUUGGCCACAGCAACACGUGGCGGGUAAAGGUUGUUAUUUCUAUUAUUAUUAUUAUGCUAUUAUUCCUAUGAGACCCUUUUAGGGGGAAUGGGAGAGGUGUCAGGUCCCAGAGGCAAUGCAUUGCAUUAUUGUUAUUGUUAUGAUGGUGGUGAAAUAAAAGGAAAUAAAAAGUGAAAGAAGGAAGCAAA